UGUGUUGCUGACAAGGCCAGUAUUUACGACCAGCCCUAAUUGCGCUGGGAGAGUUGUAGUUAGCUAGUUAGUUGAAUUGCUGUAGUCCAUAUGGCGUAGGUAUAGCCAUAUAUUGUUGUGAAGGGAUCUCCACAGUUUUAGUCCAGAACAGUGAAGGAACGGUGGUGUAGCUCCAAGCCAAGAUUGUUUGCAAUUUGAAAAAAGUGUGCUUCCUGUUCACGUUCUUCUAGGAUGGAUUUGGGAGGUUCUGUCAAAGAAGCUUUCACAAACUGCUAUAGUGCAUCUUGGAGAUGACACAAACUGUAGCCACAGCCCUUUGUUAGUGGGGAGAGUGAAUGUUCAAUGUAAUUAAUUGGCUGCCAAUCUAGCGCUGCUUGGUCCUCAAUAGUGGUGAGCAUUUUGAUUGUUGUUGGAGCUUCAGUUAUUUAGAUAAGUGGAGAAUAUUCUAUCACUGUCCUGACUUGUGCUGUGUAGAUGGUGAUUAGCUUUCACGAGUCAGGAGGUGAGUCACUUGCCACAGAACCCUAGGCCUCUGAACUUCUGUUAUAUCUACAGUAUAUUUGUGGCUAGUUCAAUUCAAUUCCUGGUCAAUGAUAACCCUGCGAUUUUGAUAAUGGGGGAUUCAGCAAUGAUGAUGUCACUGAAGAGGAGAUAGUUAGGUAUUCCCUUUUUGGAGAAACUGGGCUUGUAUUUUCUAGAGUUUUGAAGUAUAAGUGAUGAUCUCACUGAAUUUUACAAAAUUCUGACAGGACAUAAAAGGGCGCAUAUAAAUAGGUGGUUUCCCCUCAAUGGAAAAAAGAACGGGCCAUUGAAGACUGGGAUGAGGUGGAAGACCUGAGAGCUAUUUUAUCUGAAGACAAGGAUGCUGCGUCAUUUUAAUCACUAUUUCGAUUUGUGGCAAGUUGUAAACAUUUCUGUUCAGUUAACUAAUGAAUCAUAUCUAAGCAACUGCUUCCUAUGAAACUUAAUAAACUAUCUGACAAUUCCUUAUGAAUGGUCAACUGUACCUACAGCAAGUAAUUGUGGUAUUCAACCCCCAAAAUAUAACAAUGUUCUGCAACAAGCAUCUUCCUAGGUGCUGCAUAUGGCUCCAAUCAGUAGAGAGCUUCCUCUGAUUCUCAUUGGCUACAGUUUUUCUAGGGCUACUUGAUGCCAUAUUCAUUCAAAUGCUGCCUUGUUGUUAUGGGAGUUACUCUCAGCUCACCUCCGGUGUUCAUCUAGUUUGCCCAUGUUUGGAGCAAGGCUAUAAUAAAGGUUGGAGCUGACUGGCCCUUGCGGAACUCAAACUGAACAUCAGUGAGCUGGUUACUGCUGAUCAAGUGUGACUAUCAUUGGCCCCUUCCUUCAUUUUGCUGAUGAUUGGGAGAAGAUUGACACGGUAAUAAUGGCUAUAUUGGAUAGGACAAAUAUGGGUAACUUUCAAUAUUACCUGUAGAUGCUGGUGUUGUAGUUGCUGUCAUCAUUGGUGGCACCUCGGAAUUGAGGAUGCCAUCUGUCAGGUUAAAUCAAGCUUCAGAUGUCUGAGAAGCCAAAGUGUGAAUCCAAAAGUUCUCUCUACAGGUUGGUUUCCUUCUUCUCACUGUGCUGCUGCCAUUUUACUUCACAGGGUUUACGCUCUUUCAGCUGCCAUCCAAAUCUCGUGUUUUGUCUUGAUCCACCUCAGAUCAUCUUUUAAUGCUGCCAGACCAGCUGAGUUUCUCCAGCAAAUUUCUGUUUUUGUUUGUUUCUCUCAGCACUAUACUUUCUUAGUGCUGAACUUGACUGUCAGCCUUGAUCUUUGUUCUCAAGUACUUCAGUGAGAUUUGAAGCCACAAUCAUCUUGAUAACUGAAUAUUAAUUGUUUUAUCGUGUGCAAGAUAUGGACAUCAACUGACGAUUCAAAUGAGUCUUAUAAAUACAAUUACUAAAAACUAAAUUGUUGGGUGAGGAAGUGCAUGCUUGUGUUACUGGAUGAAUAAAAUAAUUGUGCCAAAUUUGGCUCCAAUUCUGCCAUUCACCAGCCGACUUUUUGGAUUAGUCUAUUUCUGGCCCAGAGACUGGAAUGCUUUCAAACAGCUUUCAAACAAGAUGGCUGCGGAGUAAUAGGGCUGUGUGCAGGCUCCUGAGCUGGGCUUGUCCACACCCGUCUAAUUUCUUUCUUUUCUUUAAACUCCUGAUCUUUUUCUUUGUACUUCAUAUUUUUUUCUCAUUUUUCUUUUCUUUAAAACCUUUUACGGAGGGUUAAUUGGCAGCAUCAGUGCAGCAGAGACAUUGGGCCAUGUGAGGAAUGGCAGCAGCCUCCCUGUGGUCUGAGACAGCAGUGGACACGGCUUCUCCUGGCAAUUGGAGACGGCAGCAAGGACUUCCUCCUGGCAUUCGGGGCCGGUGGUGGCAGCAACGGUGGCAAAGCUCCUCCAGUGAUCGGAGGCAGUGCAUCAGCAGCAACAAAAAUGCAGCUCCUCCCUGCGACCGCUGUGAGACUCACAGGCUAACUGAGACUUCAGGUUGUGGUUAGGCCUGGGUGCCUGCAUCAGUAUUUCCAAAAACCUUUAUGGAGCUAAGACUUAGACUUGGAGAUCUGGAUAUUUUUCUUAUUGCUGCUGUUGUUUUUUUUUAAGAGAUUCUGGUCUUGUAACAAACAUGGUGCCAGAGAAUGGUGAGAGAUAGUAGGAACUGCAGAUGCUGGAGAAUCCGAGACAACAAGGUGCAGAGCUGGAUGAACACAG